UACGGGGGGGGCAAGCGUUGUUCGGAAUUACUGGGCGUAAAGGGCUCGUAGGUGGCCAACUAAGUCAGACGUGAAAUCCCUCAGCUUAACUGGGGAACUGCGUCUGAUACUGGAUGGCUUGAGAUUGGGAGAGGGAUGCGGAAUUCCAGGUGUAGCGGUGAAAUGCGUAGAUAUCUGGAGGAACACCGGUGGCGAAGGCGGUGGUCUGGGCCGGAACUGACGCUGAGGAGCGAAAGCGUGGGUAGCAAACAGG
rnacentral:rRNA from 1 species